UCGCGCUUGCAAGAGGCUUCUGGAGAAAGCUGGACUUGAAGGCUAUCAGAUUAGUAAGACAAAGGUGUUUCUAAGGGCCGGACAGAUGGCAGAGCUUGAUGGUUGUAGGACUAAGGUCCUAGGUUUUCAUCGCUACAACCUUGCAUUCAUUUCACAACACACGAGUUUGCUAUUAAACACAUGGCUGAUGGUGACAAAGGGCUAUUGGGAGUUUGUUGGUGAGAUCAGGUCACGGUCAACGGACGGCAAGAACUGGUCAACUACAGAA